CUGUAGCCAAGGCAGCCUUCGGAAAGGCCUGGACACUGAUCAGCCGGUCGUGCAGUGCUACGACAAAACACCGGCAGCC
rnacentral:sRNA from 16 species